rnacentral:rRNA from 1 species
UACGUAGGGUGCGAGCGUUGUCCGGAAUUAUUGGGCGUAAAGAGCGCGCAGGCGGUCGUUCAAGUCGCGUGUGAAAGCCCCCGGCUCAACUGGGGAGGGUCACGCGAUACUGAUCGACUCGAAGGCAGGAGAGGGAAGUGGAAUUCCCGGUGUAGUGGUGAAAUGCGUAGAUAUUGGGAGGAACACCAGUGGCGAAGGCGGCUCACUGGACUGGUACUGACGCUGAUGCGCGAAAGCGUGGGGAGCAACAGG